UCGCUCUUCAACGAGGAAUCCCUAGUAAGCGCGAGUCAUUAGCUCGCGUUGAUUACGUCCCUGCCCUUUGUACACACCGCCCGUCGCUACUACCGAUUGAAUGGCUUAGUGAGACUUUCGGAUGUGUUUGGAGCCGCUGGCAACAGUGACACCUUGCGCAGAAGUUAUUCAAACUUGGUCAUUUAGAGGAAGUAAAAGUCGUAACAAGGUUUCCGUAGGUGAACCUGCGGAAGGAUCAUU
rnacentral:rRNA from 1 species